ACGGCUCAGUAACACGUGGAUAACCUGCCCUUGGGUCCGGCAUAACCCCGGGAAACUGGGGAUAAUUCCGGAUAACGCAUAUGUGCUGGAAUGCUUUAUGCGUAAAAUGGAUUCGUCCGCCCAAGGAUGGGUCUGCGGCCUAUCAGGUAGUAGUGGGUGUAAUGUACCUACUAGCCGACAACGGGUACGGGUUGUGAGAGCAAGAGCCCGGAGAUGGAUUCUGAGACAUGAAUCCAGGCCCUACGGGGCGCAGCAGGCGCGAAAACUUUACAAUGCGGGAAACCGUGAUAAGGGGACACCGAGUGUCAGCAUCAUAUGCUGGCUGUCCAGGUGUGUAAAAUACACCUGUUAGCAAGGGCCGGGCAAGACCGGUGCCAGCCGCCGCGGUAACACCGGCGGCCCGAGUGGUGAUCGUGAUUAUUGGGUCUAAAGGGUCCGUAGCCGGUUUGGUCAGUCCUCCGGGAAAUCUGAUAGCUCAACUAUUAGGCUAUCGGGGGAUACUACCAGACUUGGAACCGGGAGAGGUAAGAGGUACUACAGGGGUAGGAGUGAAAUCUUGUAAUCCCUGUGGGACCACCUGUGGCGAAGGCGUCUUACCAGAACGGGUUCGACGGUGAGGGACGAAAGCUGGGGGCACGAACCGGAUUAGAUACCCGGGUAGUCCCAGCCGUAAACGAUGCUCGCUAGGUGUCAGGCAUGGCGCGACCGUGUCUGGUGCCGCAGGGAAGCCGUGAAGCGAGCCACCUGGGAAGUACGGCCGCAAGGCUGAAACUUAAAGGAAUUGGCGGGGGAGCAC
rnacentral:rRNA from 2 species